rnacentral:rRNA from 1 species
UACGUAGGGUGCGAGCGUUAAUCGGAAUUACUGGGCGUAAAGUGUGCGCAGGUGGCUGAGCAAGUCGAGUGUGAAAUCCCCGGGCUUAACUUGGGAAUUGCGCUCGAAACUACUUGGCUCGAGUGUGGCAGAGGAAGGUGGAAUUCCAGGUGUAGCGGUGAAAUGCGUAGAGAUCUGGAGGAACACCGGUGGCGAAGGCAGCCUUCUGGGCCAACACUGACGCUCAUGCACGAAAGCGUGGGGAGCAAACAGG